rnacentral:rRNA from 1 species
UACGUAGGGACCAAGCGUUGUUCGGAUUUACUGGGCGUAAAGGGCGCGUAGGCGGUUUGUCAAGUCAGUUGUGAAAUCUCCGAGCUUAACUCGGAACGGUCAACUGAUACUGUCAAGCUAGAGUACAGAAGGGGCAAUCGGAAUUCUUGGUGUAGCGGUGAAAUGCGUAGAUAUCAAGAGGAACACCUGAGGUGAAGACGGGUUGCUGGGCUGAUACUGACGCUGAGGCGCGAAAGCGUGGGGAGCGAACAGG